rnacentral:rRNA from 1 species
CAGCCGCCACGGUAAUACGAGGGGAGCUAGCGCUGUUCGGAAUUACUGGGCGUAAAGCGCGCGUAGGCGGCUUUUUAAGUUAGAGGUGAAAGCCCGGGGCUCAACCCCGGAAUUGCCUUUGAAACUGGAAAGCUAGAAUCUUGGAGAGGUCAGUGGAAUUCCGAGUGUAGAGGUGAAAUUCGUAGAUAUUCGGAAGAACACCAGUGGCGAAGGCGACUGACUGGACAAGUAUUGACGCUGAGGUGCGAAAGCGUGGGGAGCAAACAGGAUUAGAUACCCCUGUAGUCCCUGUCUCUUAUAU